AUUUGACACAAUUAUGCGUCAGUUCCUCUCUUUUGCCGAGCAACUUUUACUACAUAAACGUUAAGGUUCAGCCACUUCGACAAAGUUUCUCGUCAAUUCCUCUCUUUUGCCGAGCAACUUUUACUACAUAGACGUUAAGGUUCAGCCACUUCGACAAGAUUUCUCGUCAAGUUACUACAUAGAGGAUCCACCAGCUUUCAGACCCCCCUCGGACCCCGUCUUCUCUUGGCCAAAUGGAACAGAGACUUCUCUCAAUAAGGGUGACGCUCGAGAAGGAGGUAUUCUGUUGCCGCAUUUCCUCUUCUUCAACUUAGAGCAUAUCCUUGACACCCUGGGAAAUGGGCCCUUACUUAGCAAGGCCCGUACCAUCCUUUGUAGCUUUACAGGAAAAGUCCACGGGUCGAGUCAAGUCCUUUGCUUUUAAAAUGCCGGGCUGUUUGGCCGUUUUGGCUAGGUGAAGACUCAGAAUGUUCUAUUUGCCUCGGCCUUGGUUUCCAUUGACUGGCAGCAUGAGUCAAAGAACUGAAGAAGAUAAAAGAAUUAAGCGAAUGCUUAAAGCCAACCGCCAAUUCAUGACAAAUUUACUGACCUCCUCAAAGCAGACGUCGAGUUCCUUCAACUCCGUACUAAGAUCAGCCACUGGCGAGCAAAUCAAUUUGAUCCUGGAUGUGCUUCAAUUAGUGGCUGUCGGGAAAAUACCAGAGAUAAAACGCCACUUCCAAUUGUUUGUAAAAUCCAACAAAGCCAUGCAUUUUCAUGAACGUUUGAAUAAUCCAUCAAGCCUAAACGCACUGAAAGACGCCUCGCUUUUGGAUAAAAUUCAAUUUUUAAGGGCAUUGAGAGUACAUUUGCCCAAAUAACUCCAUCGGGUUUUCUUUCGGGUAUAAUGGAAGCCAAAAUGCUGAUAUCUUGUGCCGAAUACUUUCACUUGAAGAAGGUCGAGGAGGCUCAUCAGAAGUGUCAAAGGAAGAUUGAAGAUAAAAAAAACAGUAACCAAGAUAUUUCUUGGGCUAAAGAAAGCGUGGAGAAGGAGCCGUAAGUUGAAGAAUCUUCUCAAACAGAGGAUCCAAUUAUCCCACCCAAGCAACAAGACAGUAGUCUUUCCCAAAUCGAACUUAGUGCUUCAACACCAAAUUAUUGGAAGGCCGAUAGUGACACUGACACUUCUGAUGAUGAUAACUAUUUUUGUUUUGAAAAAAGAAAAAAACGACCUAAGAAUUAAGUGAGAUUGAAUACAUCUUGCAACAUUUACAAAAUAUUAUCUUUUCCAGUGGGAGUCCUACUUGUCAGCUGGUGAAGAAUAAUGGUUGACCGUCAGAUUCAAAUUUAAUUCCGGAAGUGCCCCCCAGCAAAUUAGCGUUAGUCCUAAUUUUGGGAAAAUCAACCUGCCAGCCAGAAUAUACAUAAGGUAGAGCAUCCUAAAUAUUGUUGGCGAAGAAAAAGAUAUCCGCUUGAUGCUUGAACUUUUUUUUAGCGGACCGUCAAUGAGUGGAAAGGUAACAACAAUCCAUAAAAGGAUGAAAAUUGUAUUAAUUGAUGCGACGAUAUUCCUUUUCCUCCUAGAGCAAACUUGUGUUGGAUAUGCUUCAGCAUCGCGAUGAAGUAUUUCGAGGUUCUUUUUCUCGAGCUAUUUAUUGUGGCCCAUCUGCUCACGAAUUUACAUCGCUUUUGGUUCAAGCCUUCCCUUCCAUUGAACGUCAUGAUCGGGUUGUGAGGCCAGAAGAUUUGGACCUAUAUGCAGAAAAAUCCAGUCAAAAGCUUUUGAUCUUAGACGAUUUUGGAAAUGAUGCCAUGGAAAGAAAAGGUACAAACUUGAAAACUAAUUUAGCACGAAGAUAAAAAUGUAUUGUACUCUGCAUUAGAAUUCAAAGCAUUAUUCGAAAUGGGAUCACACCAUUACAACAUUUCAGUCAUUGUCGUAGUUAACCCAGAAAAAGACUAUUAUGCCAAAGAGUAGUCAAAUGACGAUAACUCCCAAUCUUCCCUUUUAGUGCAAAAUUUCUAUUCAACAG